AGAUGCAUGGGCGCCGGGCACCUAGGCGCAGCCGAGCCAAUCAAGGCUGACCUCCUCCUUCCCGACCUUCGCACCUGAUUCCCAGAGCGACAACCCGCGCCCACUCCGGAUUACUUGAAGGAACCCAACCAUGUUUCCGAGUCCCCAACAUUUUCCAGAAAUUAAGACCGAUGGGGGCCGGGGGAGAGAAGGAGAGGGUUUUUCUUAAGAAUAAGGUCCCGAGAUGUAGGGAGGGGCCCGUGGGUGCAAAGAUUUUUUUUUUUUUCCACCACGGAAAGAGAGGAGAAUGGAGGUGGAUUCCUGGGAGAUGAGGUACAGGAUCCUGGGAAGGGGACCUGCAAUUCCAGGAGCUGGUCUGGAUAAGAUGUAGUGUGAAGGAUAGGGUUUGCUGGCUGUUCCAGCCCGCUCAACGCUCCACUUUAAAAAAAAAAAAAAAAAAGUGUUGGCGGCGGGUAGAGGGGAUGAAAGGAGGUGUGGGCAGGACAAGACGAAAAUCCAGAACUUACAACGGUGGCCCGUAGGAAUUUUCUCGCCAAACCAAGAAAUGGAAAAGAAAGCAAGAGAGGCAGUGGCGGCGAGAGGAUGGCGGGGAUCCGCCCGCGCCGCCAGGUGCACCCGGGCCCCGCACCUACCUGCUGGCCGCCGCCGCCACUGGAGUAGGACUCGGCGUGCGCAGGAGAGCCGCUGCUGCCCCGGGAUGAGAAAAGGAGCUGAGAAUAAACUUCCUGUGGCCGACUCGCCGCCGGAGUUUCGAGCGGUUCGGACACUUGACUAGAAGGCAGCCUGCGCCCGGCCCGCGGCCGGUGGGGUUCCAGUUGAGCCGGCGCGGAGAGGGACGUGGCCCCGCUCCCCGUGCCACAGCUGCGGCGCCCGGACCUGCACCCCUUCCCCGGCGCCCGCUCCCGGACGGGCCCGCGUUGCCCGUCCGCGCCUCUCUCACUCCCUCUCUCUGUCCCCGCCGAACGCCGUUCGCUUGCUCGCUGGUUUGCUCGGAGCCCCAGCGCUCUGCCCGAGAUGAGUCACUACAAUGGCACGAGUUCAACUCCACACUCUUUAUUCUCCAGCCCCUGUACCUCACGUCAACCCCAGACUCCACCUUGCAGGGAGGAGCGCGCGGGGAGGCGGAGGGAGAAGGCCGAGGAGGAGGAGGAGGAGGAGGAAGAGGCGCGGGAGGAGGCGGGCGCAGCGCUACCCUCCCUGCCCCGGCUCCCGGCCGCGCUGACGCCAGCCGCGCACCCAGCGCGAGGAAGGAAGGGGGUGGCGGGUGUGGGAGCGGACCGCUGGCGCGGUUUGAGGGAGCCGAGGCUCCUGGCCCUUCCCCCCCCCCCGCCCACCCCCCGGCCCCGCGCCCUUGGUCUGCUCCGCUGGCGCACGUUGCCAAAGAUGGUCAUUUGCGUUAGAGGACGCGAGUGCGGGUUCCCUCGCUUUCGGGUGACGUGGAGGGAGAGGGAUUCCCUCGCCGGCUCCCCAGCACGCCGCGGCCUCCCCGCCUUCCACCACCCUGGGAAGGGGCGCGGGGCGGGGCCCCCGAGAGCGGCCGCAGGGGCCUCGGCGCCGGGUUUUAGAAAAUAAUCACAGUCCCGAAGAGCGAGACGGGCGGUUCAGUGCGGCGCCACCGCGAGGCUGGGAGCCGGGCGCGCUGAGCCGCUCGCAGGGAGGGCGCGGCCGCGCAUGGUCGUCGGCGUCCUCCGCGGCGCCGCCUGAAGCAGCGGGCGCCCUGGGCGCGCUGGGUAUCCGCACCUCCCUGAGGCCGGGCCUUGGCGGGGCACGGCGCCGCCGGGCGGGGCCGGCCUGCCUAGUUUGCCCUCCGUGGCUGGCUGCCCACUGCUUCCCGCCCCUUCCCCCCACCCGCCCCGUUUUUUCGGCCCUGAAAUUAAUUUGUUAGGAGUAGCCUUGAAGACGAAAUUAAACAGUCAAGACAU